GACGAACGCUGGCGGCGUGCUUAACACAUGCAAGUCGAACGGAAAGGCCCUGCUUUUGUGGGGUGCUCGAGUGGCGAACGGGUGAGUAACACGUGAGUAACCUGCCCUUGACUUUGGGAUAACUUCAGGAAACUGGGGAUAAUACCGGAUAGGAGCUCCUGCUGCAUGGUGGGGGUUGGAAAGUUUCGGCGGUUGGGGAUGGACUCGCGGCUUAUCAGCUUGUUGGUGGGGUAGUGGCUUACCAAGGCUUUGACGGGUAGCCGGCCUGAGAGGGUGACAGGCCACAUUGGGACUGAAAUACGGCCCAGACUCCUACGGGAGGCAGCAGUGGGGAAUAUUGCACAAUGGGCGGAAGCCUGAUGUAGCAACGCCGCGUGCGGGAUGACGGCCUUCGUGUUGUAAACCGCUUUCGCCUGUGACGAAGCGUGAGUGACGGUAAUGGGUAAAGAAGCACCGGCUAACUACGUG
rnacentral:rRNA from 1 species